AUAUGACACCCGUGUGAUGGUUUCCCCUGCAACAGGGGAUGAAAAGGGAACCGGGUGCGGGCCGUGCUGGCCUUAGUCCCGGGCUGUCCCCGCAACUGUAAGCGGCAGGGCUGAGGCUGCCCGGACGCACCGCGUCCGGCCCACUGGAGCAGACGAUUCUCCGGGAAGGGAAGGCUCAGAAAAAGCGCCGCAAGCCAGGAGACCUGCCAUCCGGCACGUGGUUGCA
rnacentral:ncRNA from 12 species